AACUUUAAAGCUAUAUUAGCAUUUCACUUACACUGAAAAGAUAGAAACAACUCAAUUUAAUUU
rnacentral:tRNA from 1 species